AAAUAGCACAUUUAUACAGAACAUUUUUAUUUUAAAAACGAAAAAAGAAAAAAGAAAAAAACAAAGGAAAAUGGAUGAGGUGUAUCCAAACGUACAAACUUACCCUUUCUUACUUUCAAUGGAUGAACCAUUUUUCCUUCGCAAGGGACCUUUCCACGAAGAUCAUAGCCUUACACAAACUGGACCACAAUUUUGUCACAAAAUAGGGGCAGCAAAGGUGAGAUGAGAUCCCAGAAGUUAAAAGAUAGAGCACUCCGCCGAGAUGAGAUCCCAGAAGUUAAAAGAUAGAGUACUCCGCCGAAAUUGCCCAUCCCUGCCGGAGUACUGAUGCUUGUCUGUCUUCCAUCAUUUCUCACAAACCCCUUCCCAUCUCUCCAUUCUAUAAUCCAUGGCCGUGACUCCUUCGGUGCAGUACCUGGGUACCACCAUCGGCUCAUCUGACCCUCCUUCGCUACCCCAAUUAAAUUCAAAUGGUCUAGCUACAGGACCACCAACCCAUCACCCGUUCACCACCUCAGCACGCAUGGGGCCAUUUUUCAUUCCAAUAUCACGUCAUUCUCUACUGUUUUUUUAUCUCCAUAUUGUCAAUUCACUCUUCCUUUUUCUCUCUCUGUUGUCGAAUAAGUGUUCUUUUGCGUUACCCGUCUUCUCCUUUUCAGUGGAGUACACGUGGAGAUCAUCUGACCCUUGGGUUUGUCUUGGCUGAAGAACGUGGCACUAGGUGGUAUUUUGCUAUCAGUGUCAGUAACUACACUUUGUUUUUUG
rnacentral:lncRNA from 1 species